ACACCUCAACUCUCCAUGGUUUUCCAUGAUGAGCUUGGACUUUGGGGGGUUUUUGCUGGCCUACGGUCAGCUCCCCUAAAAUGAAUCAGCUUGCCAGUGUUUGGUGGGCAUCACAGGUGUGAUAACUAUCUACGCUUGUGGUUUUCCACCAGGUAACCUUCCAUAGUGGAGGUUCACUGGAGCUCACAGAUGUCUCUCUUCAGUGAGGACAGCUCUUUGAAU
rnacentral:misc_RNA from 1 species